rnacentral:misc_RNA from 1 species
GACAGAGGGUGCAAACGUUGUUCGGAAUCACUGGGCAUAAAGCGCACGUAGGCCGUCCUUCAAGUCACGCGUGAAAUCCCCCGGCUCAACCGGGGAAUUGCGCGUGAUACUGUAGGGCUAGAGGUCGGUUGGGGUGAGUGGAACUCCUGGUGGAGCGGUGAAAUGCGUAGAUAUCAGGAGGAACACCGGUGGCGAAAGCGACUCACUGGACCGAAACUGACGCUGAGGUGCGAAAGCUAGGGGAGCAAACGGG